rnacentral:rRNA from 1 species
GCGCGUAGGCGGUUUUUUAAGUCUGAUGUGAAAGCCCACGGCUCAACCGUGGAGGGUCAUUGGAAACUGGAAAACUUGAGUGCAGAAGAGGAAAGUGGAAUUCCAUGUGUAGCGGUGAAAUGCGCAGAGAUAUGGAGGAACACCAGUGGCGAAGGCGACUUUCUGGUCUGUAACUGACGCUGAUGUGCGAAAGCGUGGGGAUCAAACAGGAUUAGAUACCCUGGUAGUCCACGCCGUAAACGAUGAGUGCUAAGUGUUAGGGGGUUUCCGCCCCUUAGUGCUGCAGCUAACGCAUUAAGCACUCCGCCUGGGGAGUACGACCGCAAGGUUGAAACUCANAGGAAUUGACGGGGACCCGCACAAGCGGUGGAGCAUGUGGUUUAAUUCGAAGCAACGCGAAGAACCUUACCAAAUCUUGACAUCCUUUGACCCUUCUAGAGAUAGAAGUUUCCCCUUCGGGGGACAAAGUGACAGGUGGUGCAUGGUU